AAUGAACGUUGACGGUAUGCUUAACACAUGCAAGUCGAUCGGCAGCAUGACUAGUAGCAAUACUAGUUGAUGGCGAGCGGCGGACGGGUGAGAAACGCGUAGGAAUCUGCCUUAUAGAGGGGGACAACUGGAGCAAACUCUAGCUAAUACAGCGUAAUACUCUACUGAGGAAAGGCGGGGUAGCAAUACCUGGAGCUAUAAGAGGAGCCUGCGUCCGAUUAGUUAGUUGGUUAGGUAAAGGCUGACCAAGACGAUGAUCGGUAGCUGGUCUGAGAGGAUGAUCAGCCACACUGGGACUGAGACACGGCCCAGACUCCUACGGGAGGCAGCAGUGGGGAAUAUUGGACGAUGGGGGCAACCCUGAUCCAGCAAUACCGCGUGUGUGAAGAAGGCCUUCGGGUUGUAAAGCACUUUAGUUGGGGAAGAAGGUGUGUAGUUUAAGAGAUGACACAUUUGACUGUACCCAAAGAAUAAGCACCGGCUAACUCUGUGCCAGCAGCCGCGGUAACAC
rnacentral:rRNA from 1 species